rnacentral:lncRNA from 1 species
CAUGUGACAGACGCUGGCAGGGUUGAAGACGCAUACUGUGAUUCCUUCAGCAGCCACUAACAAUAAGAAGAUGAAGCAAACGAACCAAACAAAGGAUGGAGGGCUCAUUCCUGGGACGUUCCUCCCUUUACCUUCACUGUGGGCUUCAAGGCCUCACGUUGCUUAGGACCUCGUUCUGUUCACGGCUUUGCUGAUGCCUCACAGGAAUCUCUUCUGGGCUCCAGGAUCAUCUUGGCACAGGAAGGAGAGAGCAUGAUAAUGCAGCACAGGUGGCCGACAU